rnacentral:lncRNA from 1 species
GUCAUAAUUGCUUCUGUAUGCACGCAGUCCACGUCAAUAAAUAAAUUUAGCUCCUCUUCUUCCAGGCAUGAUGAUCUAUGAUCUUGAGAAAUAAAAGACUUAGUUCUAAUGAAAGAACGACCCUUCUUCACAGCUGCUUUUGUCUUUUCUAGUCCAUCUUUGGUACCUUCUCUAGCAGCUCUCAUGAGCUUUUGCAUGUGUCUCUUGUGGUUGCCUCGCAAAAAGGAGCUGGGAAUUCCAUUUUUACACUCGGAAUCACUUUGUUCUUCGUAGCUUUCAAACUCACUUGAAC